AGUUUGAUCAUGGCUCAGAUUGAACGCUGGCGGCAUGCCUUACACAUGCAAGUCGAACGGUAACGCGGGGCAACCUGGCGACGAGUGGCGAACGGGUGAGUAAUAUAUCGGAACGUGCCCAGUAGUGGGGGAUAGCCCGGCGAAAGCCGGAUUAAUACCGCAUGAGACCUGAGGGUGAAAGCGGGGGAUCGCAAGACCUCGCGCUAUUGGAGCGGCCGAUAUCAGAUUAGCUAGUUGGUGGGGUAAAGGCCUACCAAGGCAACGAUCUGUAGUUGGUCUGAGAGGACGACCAGCCACACUGGGACUGAGACACGGCCCAGACUCCUACGGGAGGCAGCAGUGGGGAAUUUUGGACAAUGGGCGCAAGCCUGAUCCAGCAAUGCCGCGUGCAGGAAGAAGGCCUUCGGGUUGUAAACUGCUUUUGUCAGGGAAGAAAUCUUCUGGGUUAAUACCUCGGGAGGAUGACGGUACCUGAAGAAUAAGCACCGGCUAACUACGUGCCAGCAGCCGCGGUAAUACGUAGGGUGCGAGCGUUAAUCGGAAUUACUGGGCGUAAAGCGUGCGCAGGCGG
rnacentral:rRNA from 1 species